rnacentral:rRNA from 1 species
CUACUACCGAUUGAAUGGCUUAGUGAGGUCUCCGGAUUGGCUUUGGGGAGCCGGCAACGGCACUCUAUUGCUGAGAGGCUGAUCAAACUUGGUCAUUUAGAGGAAGUAAAAGUCGUAACAAGGUU